AGAAGCCAGACUGAGAAAGAAAAGCAUAAAGGACACGCAACAGCAUGAUGCCUGAGCAAGGAAUGUGGAUGGAGAAGGGAAUAUUGGACAAGGUCAGGACCGCCACUUCUAGAGAAAUGUGAUACCGGGACAAGAUAUGACUAAAAAUGUCUGCAGAGCAGCAGAGAGUGCCUACCUCAAGUAGAAGUAUGAUAGUUGAACUUUAUUGUGCUCUAGAAAAAGCAAUAAACCCUUCUGCAAACUUCAUAAGAUAGCACAGUAAAAGGAACUCUACACCAAGAGGACAUUUUCCCUUCAAAAUAACAAAGCAGAACACAAAGUAAAUCAAAGCAUAUAAACGGAGAAAGGAAUUCCGUUGCCUUUGAAAUUGAACUCCAGAAAUAAUUUACUUAAAAAGAGUUCCUCAGAUAUAGCUUGAAGUCUAAAGACAAUCAUUGAUCAUCAACUGGUAUUCUCUUACUCCAUCAGCACUCCAGAUACAAAGCAAGAGAAAACCCAGAGUAAAAAAUUUAAAUGGACAAUAUUUCAUCUGCAACCUGGAAAGUCUUCUAUGCUUGCUGUUGUAUUGACUUUCCUACUUAUCUCAGAAAAUUGUGCAUUUAAUCAUCUCUCUCUAUUUUCUUUGACUCUUUUCCAGUGAGAGAGUAUAAGAUUGUUUACCUAAAGACCUCGAAGUCUAGCAAGAUAGGAAGCAAGUUGUUACUUAAGCAGGUUGGGGGGGCAUUAUGGGCACAAUGAAAAUUAAUCAUUGGUUCUCUUUGCCUAUCAAAAUACAUCGUUCACAUAGGACCCCUUUCCCCAAUAAAUUUAGAUCAUGCCUACUCUAGAAAAGGAAUCACAGCAUUGUCACUUCUUGAUGUUGUGAAGUAAUUUGUAAUGCGCAGAAAUGAUUUGAAUACAUGUCCCAACAGAGCUUUGUGAAGGAAACUCAAAGCUAUUCUGACAUAAUAGCAAAUGAUAGCAGAGAAGGGACUGAAGCACUGCAGCAAACCCAAAAUUGUUCCAAUAUUCAGCUGCUAGAACAAAAAAGAAAAGCCUCACUACUGAACCUUUUUCAUUUCGUAUAGCUGCUCAAAAUUUAGAAAACUCAUAGACCAUAAUCCAUUAAAACAGCAUCUAUUACAUCAAGUUCUAAUUGCUAAACUUGCUGGUAAAUCCUUGGGGUAAAGAGAUUGGAACUCUUCCAUUUUCAAUAAAGAUUAUUUGUAAAACUAAAAAAAAA
rnacentral:lncRNA from 1 species